rnacentral:rRNA from 1 species
AGAGUUUGAUCCUGGCUCAGGACGAACGCUGGCGGCGUGCCUAACACAUGCAAGUCGAGCGGAGACAGUGAGUAGCUUGCUAUGAGCUGUUUUAGCGGCGGACGGGUGAGUAACGCGUGAGCAACCUUUCCCAGACAGGGGAAUAACACACCGAAAGGUGUACUAAUACCGCAUAAGACCACGGGAUCACAUGGUUCUGAGGUAAAAGAUUUGUCGGUUUGGGGUGGGCUCGCGUCCGAUUAGGUAGUUGGUGAGGUAACGGCCCACCAAGCCGACGAUCGGUAGCCGACCUGAGAGGGUGAUCGGCCACAUUGGGACUGAGACACGGCCCAAACUCCUACGGGAGGCAGCAGUGGGGGAUAUUGCACAAUGGGGGAAACCCUGAUGCAGCGACGCCGCGUGGAGGAAGAAGGUUUUCGGAUUGUAAACUCCUGUCGUUAGGGACGAUAAUGACGGUACCUAACAAGAAAGCACCGGCUAACUACGUGCCAGCAGCCGCGGUAAAACGUAGGGUGCAAGCGUUGUCCGGAAUUACUGGGUGUAAAGGGAGCGCAGGCGGACCGGCAAGUUGGAAGUGAAAUCCAUGGGCUCAACCCGUGAAUUGCUUUCAAAACUGCUGGCCUUGAGUAGUGCAGAGGUAGGUGGAAUUCCCCGGUGUAGCGGUGGAAUGCGUAGAUAUCGGGAGGAACACCAGUGGCGAAGGCGACCUACUGGGCACCAACUGACGCUGAGGCUCGAAAGCAUGGGUAGCAAACAGGAUUAGAUACCCUGGUAGUCCAUGCCGUAAACGAUGAUUACUAGGUGUUGGAGGAUUGACCCCUUCAGUGCCGCAGUUAACACAAUAAGUAAUCCACCUGGGGAGUACGACCGCAAGGUUGAAACUCAAAGGAAUUGACGGGGGCCCGCACAAGCAGUGGAGUAUGUGGUUUAAUUCGAAGCAACGCGAAGAACCUUACCAGGUCUUGACAUCCCUUGCAGAGGUAUAGAGAUAUAUCCGAGGUUAUCAAGGAGACAGGUGGUGCAUGGUUGUCGUCAGCUCGUGUCGUGAGAUGUUGGGUUAAGUCCCGCAACGAGCGCAACCCUUGUGAUAUGUUACUAACAUUGAGUUGAGGACUCAUAUCAGACUGCCGGUGAUAAACCGGAGGAAGGUGGGGAUGACGUCAAAUCAUCAUGCCCCUUAUGGCCUGGGCUACACACGUACUACAAUGGCGUCUACAAAGAGCGGCAAGCCUGUGAAGGCAAGCGAAUCUCAUAAAGGACGUCUCAGUUCGGAUUGAAGUCUGCAACCCGACUUCAUGAAGCUGGAAUCGCUAGUAAUCGCGAAUCAGCAUGUCGCGGUGAAUACGUUCUCGGGCCUUGUACACACCGCCCGUCA